rfam:Zootermopsis nevadensis contig1534, whole genome shotgun sequence.
AAAACGGCCCUUUUCAGGGCCUCACAUAAAUUCCAUGGAGUAAUC